rnacentral:rRNA from 1 species
GACGAACGCUGGCGGCGUGCUUAACACAUGCAAGUCGAACGGAAAGGCCCUGCUUUUGUGGGGUGCUCGAGUGGCGAACGGGUGAGUAACACGUGAGUAACCUGCCCUUGACUUUGGGAUAACUUCAGGAAACUGGGGCUAAUACCGGAUAGGAGCUCCUGCUGCAUGGUGGGGGUUGGAAAGUUUCGGCGUUUGGGGAUGGACUCGCGGCUUAUCAGCUUGUUGGUGGGGUAGUGGCUUACCAAGGCUUUGACGGGUAGCCGGCCUGAGAGGGUGACCGGCCACAGUGGGCCUGGGAGACGGCCCAGACUCCUACGGGAGGCAGCAGUGGGGAAUAUUGCACAAUGGGCGGAAGCCUGAUGCAGCAACGCCGCGUGCGGGAUGACGGCCUUCGGGUUGUAAACCGCUUUCGCCUGUGACGAAGCGUGAGUGACGGUAAUGGGUAAAGAAGCACCGGCUAACUACGUG